rnacentral:lncRNA from 1 species
CCUUGCCUGUGCAAACUCUGCAAGACUCUAACGCCAUCAGCCCCGGUCUGAUUGCAGCCGCCGGUCCACAGCCCCCAAUCAUUCACAACGCCAAUUAGCCCGCGCCGCGUCCUCCGGCGGGGCGGGGGCGAACGCGCGGGAGUCCAUUUCCAGCGUCCUGACGCCACCUGAGUCCCGCACGCGGUAAUGCGGGCUUCCAAGGGCAAGGCCGCCGCCGGUCCCUCCGUGCCAGCGCAUUUCCCUUUCUUCCAGCUUCGAGAACAACUGAAGUGUGGAAGAGAAAAAGACCUGACUCUGUUUGGAAAAUGCAAACAUGGAAGAACUCAGAAACAAUAGGUUUCUAGACUGGCUGGAAGGCUCUUUAGAGGGUCUUGCUCUGUUGCCCACAAUCACAGCUCAAUCAUAGCUCACUGCAGACCGGAACUCCUCAGCGGAAGCAAUCCUCCUGCCUCUCAGCCUCCUGGGUAGCUGGCAGUAUAGGCUCACACC